rnacentral:rRNA from 1 species
UACGUAGGUGGCAAGCGUUGUCCGGAUUUACUGGGUGUAAAGGGCGUGUAGCCGGGCUGACAAGUCAGAUGUGAAAUCCGGGGGCUCAACCCCCGAACUGCAUUUGAAACUGUUGGUCUUGAGUAUCGGAGAGGCAGGCGGAAUUCCUAGUGUAGCGGUGAAAUGCGUAGAUAUUAGGAGGAACACCAGUGGCGAAGGCGGCCUGCUGGGCUUUUACUGACGCUGAGGCUCGAAAGUGUGGGGAGCAAACAGG